CCUUCAAAUGCUUGCUUUAACUUCUUUAAACACGUGGUUUAUUUCACAUGUUUUGUUUACUUUUUCAUUUUAUUUAUUUCAAGCAAUUAUCAUUUUAUUUAAUUUAAACCUGGAUUUAUUAUUGAUAAAAUGGAAGAAUCAUUUAUUGAAAAACGUACCAAAAAAACUGGUAGUUUUCAGAGUUUUGCUCUGAGUCGACCCUUAUUAAGUGCGAUUGUACGAAAAGGUUAUAAAAAUCCGACACCUAUUCAACGUAAAACAAUCCCUCUUAUUCUGGAUGGAAAAGAUGUGAUUGGUAUGUCCAGAACUGGAAGUGGUAAAACUCUUGCCUUUUUAGCUCCUCUAAUUGAAAAGCUGUCUCGCGAUAGUGGUAGAAGUUGUAUUAAAGGUGUUAUUCUUUCUCCAACCAGAGAGCUUGCCAUGCAAACUUUCAAAGUGUUCAAAGAACUCAACCGAGGAACAAAGUUGAAAGCCGAAUGUAUUCUCGGAGGAGAUUCUCUAGAAAAACAUUUCACUGCCAUGCACACAAUUCCAGAUUUGUUGAUUGCCACCCCAGGUCGUCUUUUGCAUGUUUUAGUAGAGAUGGACAUGAAAUUACCUGAUGUGUCAAUGCUUGUUUUAGAUGAAUGUGAUAGACUUUUUGAGAUGGGUUUCAAUGAGCAAAUGACUGAAAUAAUUCGCCGACUUCCCGAGCAUCGACAAACCUUAUUAUUCUCUGCAACGCUUCCUCACUCUGUUGUAGACUUUGUUAAAGUUGGUUUACAUGAUCCAGUUCUCGUUAGAUUGGAUGUGGAAUCAAAAUUGUCUGAAAAUUUAACUUCUUGUUUCGUUUAUUGCCGUGACUCAGAGAAAAUUCCUUUACUCUUAUAUUUGUUGCGAUUUGUUGUGAAACCCGAUGCAAUGACCGUUGUAUUUACAUCAACCCGUCAUCAUGUGGAAUAUCUUGCCACUUUAUUAGAGAAAGCAUCAAUACAAUGUACUCAAGUCUAUAAUGCCAUGGACCAAGAAGCCCGAAAAGCCAACACUGAAUUAUUUCGCGGUGGAAAAAUUAAAAUUAUGGUCGUGACUGAUCUGGCAUCUCGUGGUAUCGAUAUUCCUUUUUUGGAUAAUGUUAUUAACUUUAAUUUUCCAGCUAAACCUAAACUUUACGUUCAUCGAGUGGGAAGAGUUGCUCGUGCUGGUAGAUCUGGUACAGCCUAUUCUCUGGUUUCAACUGAAGAACUUCCUUACCUUCAAGAAUUGUACUUUUUCUUAGGUCGUCCGAUCAAGAUAGCUACUGCACAAUCAGAAAUUGAAGAUUCCAUGAUAGGUAAAGCUCCCCAAAUUAUCAUCGAUGACGAAUGUGACACUGUCAAUAAGUGGCAUGAAUCAUAUACUGAUCUUCAAGGUAUGAGAAAGGUUUGUGAAAAUGCAACUCAACAAUACAUAAAGACAAGAGCCGUUCCCACUACUGAAGCAGUGAAGAAAGCCAAAGAAUUAUCUAAAAAACAGAUUUCAAUUCACCCCAUAUUUAAAGUUAACUCAACAACUCCGCAAGAAGAAGAAAAAAAGGCCGAUUUUCUUUCAUCAUUAAAAAGUUACAAACCUAAGGCAACUAUUUUUGAAAUUGGAACAAACAAAAAAGAUUAUGCUUAUAUAAUGAAAACAAAGCGUGACAAACAUGAUAAAAUUGUGGCCAAAGCUCAACGGAAUAAUGAAAUACAAGAAUCUGAAGAGAAAGACUUUCAUGAUGAAAGCUUUUACCUGCCUUAUCGAGCUAAUGACCAUUAUUCUGAAAAGGGACUUGGUAUUGAGAACAGUUUUACUAAGGACUUGAAUAAUGCUGUUUUUGAUAUUAGUGGUGAUGACCAAAAAUCCUUAAACAAAACUAAUGCAACACAAAAAUGGGACCGUAAGAAGAAAAAAUUUGUUGGAGUUAAUACAAACGAUCCUAAAAAGAAGAAGAUCAAAACUGAGAGUGGUGUUUGGAUAUCAGCUUCGUAUAAAUCUAAUCUUUACAAGAAAUGGCAAGAAAAGAGUAAAAAGAGCCAAGAUGAUGACGAUGAUUAUGAAGAAGAUGGAGAAAUGGAAGAUAAAUCAGUUCAAGAUGCUGUUCGUCAACGGGAUCAAGCAAUUAGCAAGCAAAUGAUGAAAAAUAAAAGGAAAGGGUCUGGCAGUAAAUCAGUUAAGAGUGAACUCAAAAGCAAAGCUGACCUUCUUAAAGAGAGAAUGGCCAAAGAGAAGAAGAAGAAAUUCAUGCAAUGGCGUAGGAAAGAGAAACUUAAAAAGAAAGGUCAAUCUAAAUAAAGAGGCUCCAAGGGUUUUAGAGGGUAAUUUUAUCAUCACCAUCACCAUCACCAUCAUCUUCAUCCUUACAUCAACUCCUGAACAUGAACAUCAUUAUUUUUUUGCCACUUUCCCUACGAGAAGAAACGAUUGAUGGGGUUGAUGGAGCAAGUAGAGAAAAGAAGGAGAAAAGAAUCAAGAAAAGGAGAUAACUUUAUGACUUGAAAAUAAGUACUAUUGAGCAUAUUGAAAUUACCAUGAUAAUGAUGGUGAUGAUGAUGAUCCGUAACAAGUCAACGGGAAUGAUGAAAAUGACGUAUCUUUCUAAAUAUUAACAAGAAUGCCCGGAUAACCCUGUUGAUUCAUGAAUGUUGCAAGAUCUAGUUUCCAGUUUCUAAAUGGACACUCACUUGAUGAUCCUUUUUUUUAGUUACCCGUUUUUCUGACCUUUAAAUAUCAAGGGAUUUGACAUGUAAAGAAUCUAUCCCUAUCAUGAUUAUGAUCAUGAUUCUCAUCUCCAUCAUUGAAAGUUGGAUCAAGUCUCAAGCACACUAAAAAUUGCACACUAAACAACAGCAGCCAAAUGAAUGCUCAUAAUCAUAAUCAUUGCAGCAAGUUCAAUGUGCCAUUUGAACUAACUGAUGAACCUCUAAUACCACUAAAAAGCAACGGAGAAAUAACACUGGAAAUAUUUAUAACGAUGUUGACGAUGGUGAUACCAAUAGUUCGUGGUUCCAAUCAUGUUUAGCGGUUUUCAAGGCAAAGAUUAAAGGAGUAUCACAAAGCUUACUAAUUGCGAAUACCAAAGUCAAAUUAUCCAGUCAAUUAACCUUUGCGUAAUGAUCGCCCUCACCAUUUGGUUAACAUUUUUUACUCUCAUUUCCCAUUGUUGUAUCACACCUAGCUUGUAUCAUCAGGUGAAGCUUAAUGUACCGAUGAGAGGAAAUGUUGAACUGGCAUUAUCGACUUUAGUCAUUGGCCGUGUUUGCCAUCAAGUACUUUUGUUACACACCAAUAAAUAUGGUGAAAGAGCCGUUACUGAUCUACAAAUAUUUA